rnacentral:rRNA from 1 species
UACGGAGGGUGCAAGCGUUAAUCGGAAUUACUGGGCGUAAAGCGUGCGUAGGCGGUAAGUUAAGUCUGCUGUGAAAUCCCUGGGCUCAACCUGGGAAUGGCGGUAGAAACCGGCGAACUAGAGUAUGGGAGAGGGUGGUGGAGUUCCGGGUGUAGCGGUGAAAUGCGUAGAGAUCUGGAGGAACAUCAGUGGCGAAGGCGGCCACCUGGCCCAAUACUGACGCUGAGGCACGAAAGCGUGGGGAGCAAACAGGAUUAGAUACCCUGGUAGUCCACGCCCUAAACGAUGAAUACUAGAUGUUUGGUACCUAGCGUACUGAGUGUCGUAGCUAACGCGAUAAGUAUUCCGCCUGGGAAGUACGGCCGCAAGGUUAAAACUCAA